rnacentral:rRNA from 1 species
UACGAAGGGGGCGAGCGUUGUUCGGAAUUACUGGGCUUAAAGCGUGCGUAGGCGGAUAUACAAGUUGGGAGUGAAAUCCCAGGGCUUAACCCUGGAAUUGCUCUCAAAACUGUAAAUCUAGAAUCCGGUAGAGGUUAAUGGAAUGUCCAGUGUAGAGGUGAAAUUCGCAGAUAUUGGACGGAACACCAGUGGCGAGGGCGAUUAACUGGGCCGGUAUUGACGCUGAGGUACGAAAGCGUGGGUAGCAAACAGG